UACGGGAAGGGCAAGCGUUAUCCGGCAUGACUGGGCGUAAAGAGUCCGUAGGCGGUAAAGCAGAUUUUUUGUUAAAUUUUAAAACUUAAUUUUAAGAAAGCAAUAAAUACCGUUUUACUAGAGUUUGUUACAGAAAAAGUAGAAAUUUUUAUAUGGUAGGGGGUGAAAUCCGUUAGAUAUAUAAAGGAAUGUCAAUAGCGAAGGCAACUUUUUUAGUCUAAACUGACGUUGAGGGACGAAAAGUGUGGGGGAGCAAACAGG
rnacentral:rRNA from 1 species